rnacentral:tRNA from 1 species
GCCUGGCUGGCUCAGUCGGGGGGCAUGAGCCUCUUGACCCCAAGGUUGUGAGUUUGAGCCCCACGCUGGGUU